AUUCCCCUGGGAGCUUGUUGAGCGUGUGAUCCACUUAUCUGCUGGGCUGAUCGCUAGUUAAAUGCUGCCCAAGUAGCUGAAAGCCCUGUUUUAUGACAAACAGGACAAAGGAGUCCAGCUAAGGCUCAGGGGUAGCACUCCCCUCAAGCCAAUGUAGAAAGUCUUUGCUGGGGAAUGCUAAGCAGCAGAUUCCAAGCACUGCAACGUCCCUGACUUCUCGGAACCCUCACAGCACCCCUGAGUGAUGUUUUGCCUGCAUGUAUGCCUGUGUGAAGGUGUCGGAUCUCUUGGAGCCAGAGUUCCAGACAGUUGCAAGCCACCAUGUCGGUGCCGGGAAUUGAACCUGGGUCCUCUGGAAGAGCAGCCAAAAUGCUAUUAACUUCUGAGUCAUCUCUUCAGCCCCUAAACUAAAAUCUUUAUGGCUCCUGCUUGGCAUCUUUCUUUCUUUCUUUCUUCCUUUCUUCCUUCCUUUCUUUCUUUCUUUCUUUCUUUC